rnacentral:rRNA from 1 species
AUCCCUAGUAACUGCGAGUGAAGCGGGAAAAGCUCAAAUUUAAAAUCUGGCGGUCCCUGUGGCCGUCCGAGUUGUAAUUUAGAGAAGUGUUAUCCGCGCUGGACCGUGUACAAGUCUCCUGGAAUGGAGCGUCAUAGAGGGUGAGAAUCCCGUCUUUGACACGGACUGCCAGGGCUUUGUGAUGCGCUCUCGAAGAGUCGAGUUGUUUGGGAAUGCAGCUCAAAAUGGGUGGUAAAUUCCAUCUAAAGCUAAAUAUUGGGGAGAGACCGAUAGCGAACAAGUACCGUGAGGGAAAGAUGAAAAGAACUUUGGAAAGAGAGUUAAACAGUACGUGAAAUUGCUGAAAGGGAAACGCUUGAAGUCAGUCGCGUCGUUCAGGACUCAGCCUUGCUUUGCUUGGUGUACUUCUUGUUCGACGGGUCAGCAUCAAUUUUGGUCGGUGGAUAAAGGCUUAGAGAAUGUGGCAUCUUCGGGUGUGUUAUAGCUCUGGGUCGCAUACAUCGGCUGGGAUUGAGGAACUCAGCACGCCGCAAGGCCGGGUACUUGUACCACGUACGUGCUUAGGAUGCUGGCAUAAUGGCUUUAAUCGACCCGUCUUGAAACACGGACCAAGGAGUCUAACAUGCCUGCGAGUGUUUGGGUGGAAAACCCGAGCGCGUAAUGAAAGUGAAAGUUGAGAUCCCUGUCGUGGGGAGCAUCGACGCCCGGAGCAGACCUUUUGUGACGCAUCCGCGGUAGAGCAUGUAUGUUGGGACCCGAAAGAUGGUGAACUAUGCCUGAAUAGGGUGAAGCCAGAGGAAACUCUGGUGGAGGCUCGUAGCGAUUCUGACGUGCAAAUCGAUCGUCGAAUUUGGGUAUAGGGGGCGAAAGACUAAUCGAAACCAUUGACUACUUUGGUGGUUUAAAAGGCCGUCGAAAGAUAUGUGCCCUAGUAAGAGUUGAGGGAUUGCGACACCGUCAAAUUGCGGGGACGUCCUUAGAGCCCUUUGCUACGCCCUCUACGCUGAAAAGCGUUAGCAGUUGCAUCAGGUUAAUGACCUUCGGGUAUGGUUAUAACCGCCAAGGGAAUGGGAUUAUUCCGCAGUCAAGUUCCUACGG